rnacentral:rRNA from 1 species
CCUACGGGCGGCUGCAGUGGGGGAUAUUGCACAAUGGGGGAAACCCUGAUGCAGCGACGCCGCGUGGGUGAAGAAGCGCCUCGGCGCGUAAAGCCCUGUCAGCAGGGAAGAAAAUGACGGUACCUGAAGAAUAAGCCCUGGCCAACUACGUGCCAGCAGCCGCGGGAAUACGUUGGGGGCAAGCGUUAUCCGGAUAUACUGGGUGUAAAGGUAGCGUAGACGGCAGCGCAAGUCUGGGGGGAAAUGCCGGGGGCCAACCCCGGAACUGCUUGGGAGACUGUGCAGCUGGAGUGCAGGAGAGGUAAGCGGAAUUCCUAGUGUAGCGGUGGAAUGCGUAGAUAUUAGGAGGAACACCAGUGGCGAAGGCAGCUUACUGGACUGUAACUGACGUUGAGGCUCGAAAGCGUGGGGAGCAAACAGGAUUAGAUACCCCAGUAGUC